rnacentral:rRNA from 1 species
GAGUUUGAUCAUGGCUCAGAUUGAACGCUGGCGGCAGGCCUAACACAUGCAAGUCGAGCGGUAGAGAGAAGCUUGCUUCUCUUGAGAGCGGCGGACGGGUGAGUAAUGCCUAGGAAUCUGCCUGGUAGUGGGGGAUAACGCUCGGAAACGGACGCUAAUACCGCAUACGUCCUACGGGAGAAAGCAGGGGACCUUCGGGCCUUGCGCUAUCAGAUGAGCCUAGGUCGGAUUAGCUAGUUGGUGAGGUAAUGGCUCACCAAGGCGACGAUCCGUAACUGGUCUGAGAGGAUGAUCAGUCACACUGGAACUGAGACACGGUCCAGACUCCUACGGGAGGCAGCAGUGGGGAAUAUUGGACAAUGGGCGAAAGCCUGAUCCAGCCAUGCCGCGUGUGUGAAGAAGGUCUUCGGAUUGUAAAGCACUUUAAGUUGGGAGGAAGGGCAGUAAAUUAAUACUUUGCUGUUUUGACGUUACGACAGAAUAAGCACCGGCUAACUCU